CCUACGGGCGGCUGCAGUGGGGAAUAUUGGACAAUGGGGGGAACCCUGAUCCAGCCAUGCCGCGUGUGUGAAGAAGGCCCUCGGGUUGUAAAGCACUUUCAGUGAGGAAGAACGCCUGGUGGUUAAUACCCAUCAGGAAAGACAUCACUCACAGAAGAAGCACCGGCUAACUCCGUGCCAGCAGCCGCGGUAAUACGGAGGGUGCGAGCGUUAAUCGGAAUUACUGGGCGUAAAGCGCGCGUAGGUGGCUUGAUAAGCCGGUUGUGAAAGCCCCGGGCUCAACCUGGGAACGGCAUCCGGAACUGUCAAGCUAGAGUGCAGGAGAGGAAGGUAGAAUUCCCGGUGGAGCGGUGAAAUGCGUAGAGAUCGGGAGGAAUACCAGUGGCGAAGGCGGCCUUCUGGACUGACACUGACACUGAGGUGCGCAAGCGUGGGUAGCAAACAGGAUUAGAUACCCGUGUAGUC
rnacentral:rRNA from 1 species